rnacentral:rRNA from 1 species
AACGGAGGCGCUCAAAGGUUCCCUCAGAAUGGUUGGAAAUCAUUCACAGAGUGUAAAGGCAUAAGGGAGCUUGACUGCGAGACUUACAAGUCGAGCAGGGUCGAAAGACGGACUUAGUGAUCCGGUGGUUCCAUAUGGAAGGGCCAUCGCUCAACGGAUAAAAGCUACCCCGGGGAUAACAGGCUUAUCUCCCCCAAGAGUUCACAUCGACGGGGAGGUUUGGCACCUCGAUGUCGGCUCAUCGCAUCCUGGGGCUGUAGUCGGUCCCAAGGGUUGGGCUGUUCGCCCAUUAAAGCGGUACGCGAGCUGGGUUCAGAACGUCGUGAGACAGUUCGGUCCCUAUCCGUCGUGGGCGUAGGAAAUUUGAGAGGAGCUGUCCUUAGUACGAGAGGACCGGGAUGGACAUACCUCUGGUGUACCAGUUGUCGUGCCAACGGCAUAGCUGGGUAGCUAUGUAUGGACGGGAUAAGUGCUGAAAGCAUCUAAGCAUGAAGCCCUCCUCAAGAUGAGAUUUCCCAACUUCGGUUAUAAGAUCCCUCGAAGAUGACGAGGUUAAUAGGUUCGAGGUGGAAGCGUGGUGACACGUGGAGCUGACGAAUACUAAUCGAUCGAAGACUUAAUCAAA